UCUACGGGAGGCAGCAGUGGGGAAUAUUGGGCAAUGGGCGCAAGCCUGACCCAGCAACGCCGCGUGAAGGAAGAAGGCUUUCGGGUUGUAAACUUCUUUUCUCAGGGACGAAGAAAGUGACGGUACCUGAGGAAUAAGCCACGGCUAACUACGUGCCAGCAGCCGCGGUAAUACGUAGGUGGCAAGCGUUCUCCGGAUUUAUUGGGUGUAAAGGGCGUGUAGGCGGGAGCGCAAGUCAGAUGUGAAAUCUCAGGGCUCAACCCUGAGCCUGCAUUUGAAACUGUGUUUCUUGAGUGCUGGAGAGGCAAUCGGAAUUCCGUGUGUAGCGGUGAAAUGCGUAGAUAUACGGAGGAACACCAGUGGCGAAGGCGGAUUGCUGGACAGCAACUGACGCUGAGGCGCGAAAGCGUGGGGAGCAAACAGGAUUAGAUACCCCAGUAGUC
rnacentral:rRNA from 1 species